rnacentral:rRNA from 1 species
UACGUAGGGUGCAAGCGUUAAUCGGAAUUACUGGGCGUAAAGUGUGCGCAGGCGGUUGUGUAAGUCUGUCGUGAAAUCCCCGGGCUCAACCUGGGAAUUGCGAUGGAGACUGCACGGCUAGAGUGUGUCAGAGGGGGGUAGAAUUCCACGUGUAGCAGUGAAAUGCGUAGAUAUGUGGAGGAACACCGAUGGCGAAGGCAGCCCCCUGGGAUAACACUGACGCUCAUGCACGAAAGCGUGGGGAGCAAACAGG